CCUACGGGAGGCUGCAGUGAGGAAUAUUGGUCAAUGGACGAGAGUCUGAACCAGCCAAGUAGCGUGAAGGAUGACUGCCCUAUGGGUUGUAAACUUCUUUUAUAAAGGAAUAAAACGAGGCACGUGUGCCUUUUUGCAUGUACUUUAUGAAUAAGGAUCGGCUAACUCCGUGACAGCAGCCGCGGUAAUACGGAGGAUCAGAGCGUGAGCCGGAGUUAUGUGGUUUAAAGGGAGCGUAGAUGGGUUGUUAAGUCAGGUGUGAAAGUUUGCGGCUCAACCGGAAAAUUGCAAGUGAUACUGGCAGUCUUGAGUACAGUGGAGGUAGGCGGAAUGCGGGGUGUAGCGGUGAAAUGCUUAGAUAGCACGAAGAACCCCGAGUGCGAAGGCAGCUUACUAAACUGUGACUGACAUUGAUGCUCGAAAGUGUGGGUAUCAAACAGGAGUAGAUACCCCAGUAGGC
rnacentral:rRNA from 1 species